AAACAUAGAAACCCCACCCACACCAUAAAUCCGCCCGGGAAUUACAGACAUUAGUUUAAAACCCAAAGGACUUGGCGGUGCUUAAUACCCCCCUAGAGGAGCCUGUUCUAGAAUUGAUAACCCCCGUUAAACCUCACCCUCUCUUGUUUAACCCGCCUAUAUACCACCGUCGUCAGCUUACCCUGUGAAGGCCUAAUAGUAAACAAAAUUGGCAUACCCCAAAACGUCAGGUCGAGGUGUAGUGUAUGAGAGGGGAAGAAAUGGGCUACAUUUACUAAUAUUAGUAAAUACGAAUGACACAUUGAAAUAUGUGACUGAAGGAGGAUUUAGUAGUAAGCAAAAAAUAGAGUGUCU
rnacentral:rRNA from 1 species